CAGCCCAUUGUCCAUAUGGUCA
rnacentral:siRNA from 1 species